GUUCUGUUAAUUUUCUUUGUAAUAUAAACUGGUACUUAAUUUUACUUUAUCAAUAAAAUAUCUUUCAUUUAAAUCUUUUUGUUUUCAUUAUUUGUUUAUUAUUAUUGAAAUUAAAUAACGAGAGUUGAUAUCAAGCGAUAUCUAAAUCUCACAAGUUGUUAAACCUAUUUCUCUUAUGGCAAAAAGUUGUAUGUGCGUGGCCUAUUUGUUGUGAGUUGUGUUGCUACGGCCGUUUUUCUUUGCAACGCGUACUGAUCUGUAUACUUUUUGAACUAAUAUGGUUUUAUUUUAUUCGCUCAAGGCUGAUUUUAUAUAUUUAAAAAUAAGAUGACUCAGUUUAAUUCAAACGAUAUUGAAUUAUCACAAGCUGUAAAACGUAUGGUAAAAAACAAAUGUUUUUAUGAUUAUUUUCGUGGCGAGAGUUGUUGCUACGGGUGUCAUCUGUGCAAAACCGGAAGUAAACAAUCAGUUGUCAAGAAAAAAAGUAGUCCCGGCAUGACCUUUUCCAGUGAAUAAUGACCUGAUCAACGGCCAAUGAAAAUAUUGGAAAUUUACGAGAUAAGCCAAUCAAAUUAACGUAAUUUUGAUAUCACUUUUUCAUAUCACACUCCGUACGGUGUGAUACGAAAAAUAUCUAUUCACGUGGGAGUUAGAUAACAGGCCCCAACCAUAAGAGAAUAUCAGUUUAA
rnacentral:lncRNA from 1 species